rnacentral:lncRNA from 1 species
GCUUAUCCUCAGCUCUACCUACAAGAAGCACUGGGAAAUAUCUUUGGACCCCACGAUUAGGUGAUGUGACUCCCCUUCCUGGGCUCUUUCCUCAGGAGGUAUUGUGACAUAUUCCUGGACCAAGUACCUAGGAGAUGUGACUCUUCUUUUCUGUCUGGGUUCUACAAAAACAAGUGAUUGUGACAUAUUAUCAAACCCAGCAACUAGAUGAUGUGAUUUUUCUUCCCUGCUUGAACUCUGGAUAUGCUGUGUAUUGUGAUAUAUGGCUGGGUCCAACAUUAAGGGAUUGUGAUAUAUCGCUGAACCUAGCACCUAGGUGAUGUGACUUUGUUUUAUUGCCUGUGUCCUGCAUUUUUUAAGUAUUGUGACAUGUCCCUGGCCACAACAUCUAAAGAAUUGGGAGGAGAGAUUGUGACAUAUCUCUGGAACCAGAACCUUAGUGAUGUGACGCUUCUCUCCUGCUGAAGCCAUGCCCACACAAGGGAAAGUGACUUAUCACUGGGCCCAGCACACAGGUCUUUUCCCACAGGGAGCAUUGUGAAACAUCACUGGGCUCAGCCACCAGGUUAUGUGACUCUUCUGCCUGUGCCCUGCUUCCAGAAAAUAUUGUGACAUUCCUCAUACAGCAUCCAGGUGAUGUGACUCUUCUGCUCAUUUUCUACUUACAGGAGACAUGCCCAAAAAAGGGAUUGUGGCAUAUCUCUGAGCCCAGCACCCAAAUGUUGUGACUCUCCUGCCUGAGCUGUGCCUAGAGAAAAUAUUAUAAUAUGUCACCGGACCCUGCAUGCAAGUGAUCCAAUUCUCCAGUCUGGGCCUUGCCCAUAGAGGAGAUUGAGACAUAUUCCAGGUGAAGAAUUCAGGUCAUGCAAAUGGAGGCGGAUUUUGACAUAUCAUAAAGCCAACAUAAUACACAGUCUGCAGGUGGAAUUGGGACUCUCAUGCAUGGAUCCAGUUCAUCAUUGAUACUGUGACUCAUGUACUUGGAUGCAACUCACAGGAGGUGUUGACGCUUUUUACCUGAAGCUGGGACAUGUGUGGAAUUGUGAAUCCUAGCCCUAGAUCUUCCCACAGGUCAUGCAAAUGGAGGGGGAUUGUUACAUAUCAUAGGGCCAACACAAAAAUAAUGUAAAACUCCUGCCUGAGCCAUGCCCAUAGAAGGCAUUGUGACAUAUCACCCGUCACAGCACUCAGGUGGGAUUUUGACAUAUAACUGCACCCAGCACACAGGUGAAGUAUCUCGUAUGCUCAUCCUGCCAAAAGUUAUGAGUGUCACCCUCACACAUGGACAGAGACCUCUGGUUAGGUCUUGAAUCUUGUACAUGGACACAGUCCGCAGUUGGAAUGUCAUAUGUAGAUCCAGCCACAGGUGUGAUGUUGACCUAUUUAUAAAGUUAGCUCACAGGCACAUUGAUAACUCUCAUACCUGGAUCCAGCCAAUAAAAGAUAUGUUGACUAUUAU